AAGGCAGCAGCAAAGGCAGGCGGUCACGAUAGUGGUUAGCGUGUUUAAUUAGGACCUAGGAUCCCUGGGUUCAAUUUUCCACUUGGAUAUGAAGCUCACCAGACCCGGCAAGGGAAGGGACAGUCGCCCCAAGAGAAGCAAAAGCAGCAAACAUGCAACUAAGAUUGUUAUUGUACAGAAACACUGAUUGGGAAUUGGAAGAAAAAAGAAGACUCUGCUCUUCCAGUGCUGUUUGUUAUUGAAGAAAGUUUUUCUUGGCCAAAUGUAAAAACUUUGCAAAGUGCCCACCCAGUUAGUGUUCAUCUUUGGGAUUAUUUUGCAGCAAACAUGGUCUCUAUCUACAGUGUGAAGAAUGGAUCCUUAACUCUUUCGUGAUUGUUAGAUUUCAUUAAUAAGAAAUAAUUCCAAUAAACCUAUUUUCCAGCUG